rnacentral:tRNA from 1 species
GUUUCCGUAGUGUAGUGGUUAUCACGUGUGCUUCACACGCAGAAGAUCCCCGGUUCGACCCCGGGCGGGAACA